UCUUAUUUCUCCAUCACACCUUACCUCCCAAAUCAUAAUUAAUUUAUUAUAAUCGAGAAAACUAGAGUAUAAUUCUGGAUGGAUCUGAUUUUAAUUAAUCGCUAAAUCAUGAGAAAAUCUUUGAUUAAUUAAUAAUAGAGGACUAUUCCCACUUGACCUCCCACAUUACUUCCUAUAACAAAUUCAUAUACCAAAAUCAAGACUUCAAAACUUUCUGUCUUGUUGAUUGUUGUUGCCUUCUUGUUGGAUUUCUCUCAUCUUUUAGUUUUUGAAUAAUGUCAUUUAAUACGCGUGGCAUCGAAACUAAGUGAUUGUGAGUAUAAAUCACACCACACAAAUACACUAUCAAACUCGAGCAUCCAAUGAAAAUGGAGAGGAAGAAAUCUUGGUUGAGUUCAAUAAUUGUCAAGAACUCAUUUUUUCUUCGGACAAGAGAUAUUCUUGCAAAUGCUGCCUCAAAUCUCAGACACAAGGCUAAAGAAAAAAGUGAUGGUUUUGUUAAUUUGUACAAGGAUAUGGAGGCGUGCGCAGGAUACACAGAUAUUCAGGUGAUGUGGGAGAUGAUUCACUCUACAUCUCCUCAUAAUGUGCAGAGAGAGAGAAGCGGUAGAAGAUUUAAGUGUUGGAAAUUCUGUUUCCAACAAGUGUGAGAGAUUAUUAUCAAUAGUGUACAACGAGGAAAAAUCUACAACCGCUAUUCGUGGACGUUUUAGUAUAGAUGUCUCAAUGGUGUCUGUGUGCGUAGUGGGAGGUUAUUGUUUUAUUUCCAGCUGAAAUAUUUGAUGAUCGUAUAGAAAUAUAAGUAUAUUAUUUGAAUUUCUUUAUGCUGUUAUUGAGUGGAGAAUUUAAUGAAAUUCAAAUACUCGAUAUUUUCCUUU